rnacentral:rRNA from 1 species
UACGUAGGGAGCUAGCGUUGUCCGGAAUCAUUGGGCGUAAAGAGCGUGUAGGCGGUCCGGUAAGUCCGCUGUGAAAGUCGGGGGCUCAACCCUCGAAUGCCGGUGGAUACUGUCGGGCUAGAGUGCGGAAGAGGCGAGUGGAAUUCUCGGUGUAGGCGGUGAAAUGCGUAGAUAUCGAGAGGAACACCUGCGGCGAAGGCGGGUAGCUGGGCCGACACUGACGCUGAUGCGCGAAAGCCAGGGAGCAAACGGG